ACACGGCAGGUGUGUCCGUUGGACAACAGAGAGUGGGAAUUUCAAAAGUAUGGGCACUAGAAAAAGAGAAUUCUUCCAUCAGGCUCAACUGUUUCAUUAGCCAUUUAAUGACUUGCCCUCCUGUUACUUAAUUAUAAAUUAGAUAGAACCGUGUUUUUUCUGCUUUGUCUUUUCAGUCUGCUAUUCCUGCACCCAUAUUGUAUUCUGUGUCAAAUAAAAUCCAGUUGGAUUCUAGAACA